rnacentral:rRNA from 1 species
UACGUAGGGCGCAAGCGUUAUCCGGAAUUAUUGGGCGUAAAGCGCGCGCAGGCGGUUUCUUAAGUCUGAUGUGAAAGCCCACGGCUCAACCGUGGAGGGUCAUUGGAAACUGGGGAACUUGAGUGCAGAAGAGAAGAGCGGAAUUCCACGUGUAGCGGUGAAAUGCGUAGAGAUGUGGAGGAACACCAGUGGCGAAGGCGGCUCUUUGGUCUGUAACUGACGCUGAGGCGCGAAAGCGUGGGGAGCAAACAGG